rnacentral:rRNA from 1 species
AUUGAACGCUGGCGGCAUGCCUUACACAUGCAAGUCGAACGGUAACAGGUUAAGCUGACGAGUGGCGAACGGGUGAGUAAUAUAUCGGAACGUGCCCAAUCGUGGGGGAUAACGCAGCGAAAGUUGUGCUAAUACCGCAUAAGAUCUACGGAUGAAAGCGGGGGAUCGCAAGACCUCGCGCGAGUGGAGCGGCCGAUAUCAGAUUAGCUAGUUGGUGGGGUAAAGGCCCACCAAGGCGACGAUCUGUAGCUGGUCUGAGAGGACGACCAGCCACACUGGGACUGAGACACGGCCCAGACUCCUACGGGAGGCAGCAGUGGGGAAUUUUGGACAAUGGGCGCAAGCCUGAUCCAGCAAUGCCGCGUGCAGGAUGAAGGCCUUCGGGCUGUAAACUGCUUUUGUACGGAGCGAAAAAGCUCUCUCUAAUACAGAGGGCUCAUGACGGUACCGUAAGAAUAAGCACCGGCUAACUACGUGCCAGCCGCCGCAGUAA